rnacentral:rRNA from 1 species
CGGACGGGUGAGUAACGCGUAGGUAUCUAUCCAAGGGUGGGGAUAACGGCGGGAAACUGCUGCUAAUACCGCAUGACGACUGAGGUCCAAAGGCCGCAAGGUCGCCUAUGGAGGAGCCUGCGUUCGAUUAGCUUGUUGGUGGGGUAACGGCCUACCAAGGCGACGAUCGAUAGCUGGUCUGAGAGGAUGAUCAGCCACACUGGGACUGAGACACGGCCCAG